UACGAAGGGGGCUAGCGUUGCUCGGAAUCACUGGGCGUAAAGGGCGCGUAGGCGGAUCUUUAAGUCGGGGGUGAAAGCCCAGGGCUCAACCCUGGAAUUGCCUUUGAUACUGGCGAUCUCGAGUCCGGGAGAGGUGAGUGGAACUGCGAGUGUAGAGGUGAAAUUCGUAGAUAUUCGCAAGAACACCAGUGGCGAAGGCGGCUCACUGGCCCGGUACUGACGCUGAGGUGCGAAAGCGUGGGGAGCAAACAGG
rnacentral:rRNA from 1 species